CGAUCACUGUCCACGUGUUAACAAAAACCAGAGCCGCCACCACCCCAUCACUGGCCUUGCGGGGCAGGAGUGACUGUCCCCAGGUUGUCCUGCAGAUGAAGAAGCCAAUUCAGAGCAGGUGAAUGAUCUGCCCAGGGGCGCACAGCCAGUCAGCGGCAGGGCCCAGAGGACAUCCAGGUGCACUCAGCUCCCAAGCCAAUGGUGUUUAUGACACCCUUCUUCCCCCAACUAAAGUCCGCAAGUGGCCAAGCGCGGUGGUUCACGCCUGUAAUCCCAGCACUUUGGGAGGCCAAGGCAGGCAGAUCACCUGAGGUCAGGAGUUCGAGACCUGGCCAACAUGACAAAGCGAGACACCAUCUCUACAACAAAUACAAAAAUUAGCCAGGCGUGGUGGCAUGCAC
ensembl:lncRNA novel transcript, antisense EPS15L1